rnacentral:tRNA from 3 species
GGGCCCUUAGCUCAGUUGGUUAGAGCACCCCGCUCAUAACGGGAUGGUCGCUGGUUCAAGUCCAGCAGGGCCCACAA